rnacentral:rRNA from 1 species
GACUACCGGGGUAUCUAAUCCUGUUUGAUCCCCACACUUUCGUGCCUCAGCGUCAAUAUUGGCUUUGUGAGCUGCCUUCGCAAUCGAUAUUCUGUGUAAUAUCUAAGCAUUUCACCGCUACACUACACAUUCCACUCACAGCAACCAUAUUCAAGCUAUACAGUAUCAACGGCAUGUUUCCGGUUGAGCCGAAAAAUUUCACCGCUGACUUAUAUAACCGCCUACGCACCCUUUAAACCCAAUAAAUCCGGAUAACGCUUGCACCCUCCGUAUUACCGCGGCUGCUGGCACGGAGUUAGCCGGUGCUUAUUCGUAUGGUACUCUCAUCGGUAUUCACGAAUACCUUAUUGCUCCCAUACAAAAGCAGUUUACAAUCCAUAGGACAUUCUUCCUGCACGCGGCAUGGCUGGAUCAGAUUUCCAUCCAUUGUCCAAUAUUCCUCACUGCUGCCCCCCGUAGG